AUUGAACGCUGGCGGCAUGCCUUACACAUGCAAGUCGAACGGCAGCACGGGUGCUUGCACCUGGUGGCGAGUGGCGAACGGGUGAGUAAUACAUCGGAACAUGUCCUGUAGUGGGGGAUAGCCCGGCGAAAGCCGGAUUAAUACCGCAGACGAUCGACGGAUGAAAGCGGGGGACCUUCGGGCCUCGCGCUAUAGGGUUGGCCGGUGGCUGAUUAGCUAGUUGGUGGGGUAAAGGCCUACCAAGGCGACGAUCAGUAGCUGGUCUGAGAGGACGACCAGCCACACUGGGACUGAGACACGGCCCAGACUCCUACGGGAGGCAGCAGUGGGGAAUUUUGGACAAUGGGCGAAAGCCUGAUCCAGCAAUGCCGCGUGUGUGAAGAAGGCCUUCGGGUUGUAAAGCACUUUUGUCCGGAAAGAAAUCCUUGGCCCUAAUACGGUCGGGGGAUGACGGUACCGGAAGAAUAAGCACCGGCUAACUACGUG
rnacentral:rRNA from 1 species